rnacentral:rRNA from 14 species
GGCAGUGAGCAAGCGAAAGAUCCCGGCGAGGGGGAAGAGGCGGUGGAUGCAGGUCUAAGGGCGGCAGCAAGCGUGGAAG